rnacentral:misc_RNA from 1 species
UACGUAGGGGGCGAGCGUUGUCCGGAAUGAUUGGGCGUAAAGGGCGUGUAGGCGGAUGCAUCAGUCGGGCGUGAAAGGCGCGGGCUCAACCCGUGUAAGCGUUCGAGACAGUGCAUCUUGAGUGCGGUAGAGGGAAGCGGAAUUUCUGGUGUAGCGGUGGAAUGCGUAGAUAUCAGAAGGAACACCGGUGGCGAAGGCGGCUUCCUGGACUGUUACUGACGCUGAGGCGCGAAAGCGUGGGGAGCAAACAGG